rnacentral:lncRNA from 1 species
UGGGUUAGGCUAAUUGGGCUGAAAAUAUUGUAAACAAGCUUGGGUUAGUAAGGGUUUGAAAUGUAUUUGGGUUUGGCAAAAUUGGGUAUGUACAGAUUUAAUCAUUCCAAUACAUCACAUAAUCAUCAAAAUUGUCUAUAAAUAAUUUAGAUCUCUAAAUUGGACGGGGGAGUUAAGUCAAAUCAGUUUCAAAGGGUUUGGGUUAAUUUUGAUUUCGGGUAAUUUUAAAUUUAAAACAAUUUAAAUUUAGGUCAUUAUUGGUUCAAGUCAUUUUAGGUUCGAUGGUUGACUUUUUAUGAAUUUGAACCAUUCGAGAUUUUGAUCCAUUCAUGUCUAGUUAUUCGCGUUUAAUUUAAUACAUGAAUUUUUUUUUUAAACCGAUUCAUUUUAGAUUAAGUUAUUUAUAUGUUUUAGGUUUGACAUAAAUUUAGCUUCUUAAUUUUAAAAUAAAAUAAAAUCGAAUCAAAGUUAAACAAAUUAUUUAAUCAAUUUAAAAUUAUUAUAAAAUUAAUAAUUAUUAGAAAUAAUUUUUAAAUAAAAUAUAACAAAUAUUAAUUAAUUACCUACAUAAUAUAUAAAACCAAAACUUUUGAUUUGAGAAAAAUAAUAAAUAUUAUUUAUUUUAUUUUUAAAUUAUUAUUAUAAAUAUUUUUAAUAAUAAUUUUAAUCUAAAAUUUUGAUAUUUAUUGUUAAUAACAUUAUCUAAUUUAAACUUUAUGGGAAAACCAAAAAUCAAUUAGAUUGUUAGGAUUUAAAACACGUGUAAAAACUAAAUGAAAAUAACAAAUUCAAAAUUUUAAAGAUUUUGAACACAAAAAAAUCAAAAUAAAAAAAAAGUUCUUGAGAUUUUAAAAUAUAUCAGCUUUUUAAAGAUUUUUUUUAUUUUGAAAUUUCUCCUAAUAUUAAUUUUACUUGCAAACAAAGAGAUAAUAUAUAUCAAUAAGUGUUUAGUUAUUUGCAAUUUGCUAUGAAAAUCAUAUGGUGUAAGCUAAAAUGGCAUAUUUUAUAAUAAUAGAAAAUGAUAAUUACAAUUUAUAAGUUAUAAAUUAAAAAAUUAAUAAUUUAAGUUAUAAGUAUUAUUUUCAUUAAUUGUUUUUAAAAAAUGAAACUUAAAGAAGAAAAACAUGAAACUGAAUUUAUUUGCGGUAGAGCAACCUACUAGCUUGUGAAUCUAUACACAAUAUUUAUAGACUGAUGUACAUCAUGAAUGACUCAAUGACAGUUACUAGCUACCAACUAUAACAACUUUACAACUCAGCAAAGUUGUACAACUAAACCAAAACUAUACUUCACCACUUCAACUGCAUUUCAACGUACGACUCAAUCUAUAAUAUAUUUCCCUCUCUCCUUCUUUUUCUCCCACAUUGUGUAAAUUAAAAACUUUCCUUAGGUGUAUGCACCAACAAUAUGGUGUGUCACCUGUAUCACGCUUACGCAUAAAAACGAACAAUUUUAUAAAGCAAUUUUAGAAGUGCGGUUUUGUGUGCAAGCGGACUAUAUCACUUGUAAUAUUUAUAGUAUCAAAUAGAAUAUUUGAGUAUUUCAAUGGUUGAACCUAAAGGAGUCGGUGAUUAAGCAAUUCCUAAACUAUGAACAUGGUCGAAUGAGUCUAACUAACUACUCACUAAGUGUCAUAUUACGACAGGCAUACAAGAGUUUGAUUCCAUAAAUUAAUUAUCUAGAAACAUGAAAGGACUAAAUUAUAAACAAAGCAAAAUAUGAAACUACCCAAUACGAACAAAUACAAUAACAUAGAGCGGUUGGUUGAUUUCUAUGUGGUUGCUUAACCUCUAAAAUAGGGAUCUAAUUCGUUAUUACUUCUAAAUUGGCUCAAUUUUACCUCUCGGCUUCAACUUUAUCAAUUUCGACAAAUUAGUCUGGUUUAUCUCUCGAUCUCAUCAAACUAACUUGAGACUAUCAAAUUGAUGUCCAAUAAGAUCUCCUCUCUGUACCACUUAUCUUAAUUUUCCCUUAGGGGCGUCAAUCCUAAUUUUUGAGGUCUAUUUGGUUUACUCCAAUUUUUUUGAUGUAGUCCUUAAACCCAAAAAUCAAUUACCUAUAAAUUCCAUCAGCCAACCACUUACAUUUUAGAUAUUCAUGCUUCUAUUUGACCCUAUUAACCACAAGAAAUCGAGUAAAAACACCAUUAACUUAACCUAAAAGAAAGUUGCUAAAGACUAAAUCUUUCUUGCAAAAGCUUGAGGAACACACUAAUGACAUCAAAUAAGAUAAAUAAAAACACUUAAGAUAAGUUUUUUAACAGAGGAAAUAUAACAAAGCUGAUUGAUAUUAAAUUAAUGGAUUAAAGUGCAAAUAUAAGAAAGUUCGAAGGGUUUAGCAAGUAGAUAAAUCCUAGCUAUAGUAAUAAUUAACUUAACUACCAACAAUGGAACUAAGAAAAACAAAAAAUGAACAUGGAAAUAAACCCUAAGCUAUAGAGAAGAAGAACCAAACCCUAAAAGAUUAAAAGAAAAAGGUAAAAACUAGAUAAUGUGUGGUAUCUCUUUUCUCUCAACAAAAUUUGGCCUAUUUUAGCAUUUUUCUGACCCAAAAUUUAUGCCCAAAAUGCCUUUUAGCAUUUCUUUUUUAUUGGUGUUGAAGUUGGACAAGGUUUGCCCUUGCAAUCAUUUUUUCUCUUUUCUUGUCAGGGGUAUUGUGAUACCUACAUCAUUCUUGACUUGGGAGAAUCCUUGGGAGUUGGGUAUCUCGAUACCAUUGUGGAUGAUCUCAAUCCUUUUCAAUUCAACACUGUCAAGGGUAUCAUGACUUCCAUACCUUGAUAUUACAAUACCUAAUUCUAGGUGAUGUCUUCACUCACAUUUGGGCUUUCGAUGAUUCCUUACAACAUUUAAUCAACCAUUAGGUUCCUUAUGGCACAUUUGGCGAUUUUGGGUUUCAAAAGUGGCGUAAAACACAACAUUUCACUUAUUAAGACAAAGAACAAAAACUAAGUAAAAACAUGAGAAAAACAUAUAAAACAAAGGAAGACUCUGAAAAAAUUUCAAUAAAAAUAUCUACAAUUUGUUCUUCAGUAGGAACAUGAUUGACACACAAUUCCUAUUAUUGCACCUUUUCAUGAAUGAAAUGAACAUCCAAUUCGACAUGCAGCAUUUUCUCACUUAAGACAUAAUGGACAACUAUAUUGAUAACUAGUGGCCUCCCAUCAGCACCUACUUGUUCAAACCUGGUGGCUGAAGCAUAAACACAUAUUCGAUCAACUCAGUAUUUAAGAAUCUCUUAUUCACAUAAAUCAAUCUCAGUUUCCACUUGUUGAAGAUAGCCAAUUCAAGAAUUGUUCGAAUAGUAUUAGCCUUGACCACAGGGCUAAAUGUUUCUUGAAAAUUAGUUUAGCUUUUUUCCACCAACUGUACCUUGUACCAUGCAAUAGAACCAUCAGAAUUACAUUUGAUCUUGAAAAACCGACAAUAGCUUAUUGGUUUCCUGUGAGUAGGAAUGGGAAUUAAGGUCCAGAUCUUAUUACAAACUAAUGCAGCAAACUCAUCGCACACUACCUCACACCACUUAAAACAUGCAAUUGCACUAUGUAUAUCAUAAGGCUUAUCAAUGGAAUCAACUAGAACUGCUAGAAAAAAUCCGGUUUUAAAAUGAUUUUCUUAAACAACAGAAAAUAAAAAUUUUGAAAAUUGACCCAGUUUGUGAUAUUUAAAGCAAUAAACCUUAGACCGAAAUCAUACCUGUGUUUUCAGAUAGACGGAUCCCUGUUUUUCUCGACUUUCAACCAAAUAAUCUUCUUUGCUAUUCUCGUACAAUGAAUUGCCUCGAGUGUGGGCUCAAUCAAAUCGAAUCAAAACACAGAACUAGAAAUAAUUUUCUUUUCUUUUAAGUGAAAAUAGAAAUUCUCUUCUUAAAAUAGAAACCGAUAGAAUUGUUAUUUUUGAAAAAUAUAUUUAAUAGUUGGGAAUAAAUUCUCUCUAUUUUUCGACAAAGUAAUAAUAUCUUCAAGUUCUAUAAAUAGCCCUACCGGUGCCAUCUAUUUAUAGGGAGAGAAUGUAGAACCCUUAUUUAAUUAAAGAAGUUUAUUUCAAAUAGAAAAAUGAAAUCCUUGUUCUACUAGGAUGUAGGGGGCAACAACCCUAGUUAAAUAUACUAGGGUUUGUUGUCUCCCCUUAUUACAUAAGGGGGCUUUGGGCCUCUUUCAUAUUGACUUCAAUUACAAGUAUUUCUCGAGCUUUUAAUCCAAUACAUUAUAAUUUGAUCCAACCCAAUAUUUAUUAUUCUAUUUCCUAAAAUAAACUUCAAUAUUAAAUAAUUUUCUCGUCCCAGUUUUACCGAGUGUAAAAUUAUGACGAUUUUACCCCUAAUAUAAUUUUUGAGAAAAUAGAUUUAAUAAUUCAUCAUUCAACUUGUUCACUAUGAUUGUAUGGUUUGUUUUCAUUUUCGAGCUUUAAAAUAGUUUAAAAACAUAAACUUAGUCUUCUGAUUAUUUUUGAGAAAUCCUUGCUCAUUUGCAAAUGAAUUCAUUUCUCAAUUUUAUUUUUAUUUCCAUUUUGAAAAAAUCACAUUCAUUUCUAAAUGAUUUCAUUUUCUCCAUUUUCAUUUUCAUUUUGGAGAAAACCACAAUCAUUUCCCGAAUGUUUUCCAUUUCUCCAUUUCUAUUCAUUUUGAUUCAACACACAAUUCAUUUCUAGUUUUAACAAGCUAGCGGAGAGACCGAUAGGACAUAUGUAAUUAAGGCUCAAAUUAUUUAUAAAUAAGUUCUAAAUUCUCCUAUUAAUUAUAAACUCAUUUAGUCACGAAUUCAUUCCACUAUACUAUCAUGACUAAGCUCUCCCCAACGAUAUACCAUUAUGAAAACAACUCAAUUAGUGCUUAUCCAAUGACCUUAUCAUAAGUGUGUUACCCUCAUAGGAUAUCCUCAAUCUCUUUGAAAUAAUAUAUGUUUUCUCAAUAUGAUUCUAUUUGAUCUCUUGGUAAUCAUUACAUCUUUCUUAUUGAAAACUCAACUACUAUCAAAUAGUAAUCAAGUCAUUCAUCACAACGACGAAUGAUUCAUGACCACAUUUACUUUUCAUCAACCAUGUAAUGCCAAUGAGAGGAUAUCAUUUACCCAUGCCUUAGAAUAUGAAUUCCACUACUGUGAAGGACACUACAUACUGCAGAAGUUGUACACCCAACGCACCAGCUUUCGGUUCCUUAUCUAUUUGAACCCAGGCUUUUACUUACAUCAAAGUGUAUGAGUCACGCAUGAAUAGUUCACCAUCCACUUAGGAUUUAGGUAUGCCAUACUAUGAAUGUCACAAGUGAAUAAAUCUAUAAAUAGAUUCAGGAUCUAUUUUACUUGGGUCCUAUUCGGUGUCCUGUCAGUCCAAUCAGUCACAUUUAUGUCUCUAUCUUCUGGGAGUCAUCCGCUCCGAUGCCUAAGACAAAACAUCUCUCCUAUUGGACUUGAUUGAUGACAUAUUGAUAUUUCAAUUGGUUUCCUCAUUUUUUAUUAUACUAAUGACAUGUUUAGGUUCGUCUACUAAUAUAUGUUGCCUUUCUGUAUUACAAUAUCACUUAGUAUUAGUUAACCAUUAGACAACCAGUGAGAAACAUUUGCUUCUAUUUUUCUUUGCAUGCAAAAACCAUACGAGGACAUUAUACAAAUUAUUAAUGUAAUUCAUGAAUAAUUUUAUUAACCAAUCUGUUCAAAAAAGUUGCAAGUGUACAUUGACGAAAAUACUAAAUUUAGAGCACCAGAUCCAAUAGUCUCCCACUUGCCCUAGUGAAAUAGAUGAGUCAUGUUUCACAUUCUUGUGCCCCUCCAUAUGUUUCCCAAAGAACUCUCUAGCUAGUAAUUCUUGGUAAAGGAAAUCCUUGCGUUUUGUCCUCAUAUGUGAUCUUUGACUACAUCCACUAUUCCACGAAACAUUAUUGUCUUCUUUAUGAUCAAUGUGUUUUAUCCUUAUGUGGUUUCUUUAAGCUUUACCUAUAUUUACAAUGUUAUAGUGCAUAGCUUUUACAUACCUCAUAUUUGGCCCUUCAUAUUGAAGUUAGCAGUACAACUCUAUUUUACACUUCUCCACACAUUGUACCCACCAUCUAGGACAAAAACGUAACAUGAUGUCGAUUUCCUCAAAUCUCGACAUGUUUGGAAGUCAGAACUAGUAUAUCCGAUAGGAGUAAGAUCUCUUCCGAAAUAUAGAAGUGUAUAAUUGUUGGGAAAUGUGUCGAUAUUGUAGUAAACAUGUAAAUUUUUUCUAUUUAUUUAAACGAUGAAUAAAUAAAUAAAGUUAAUUUCACAUUUAACUAUUAUGUCUUUUGUAUUUUCUGUCUUUUAUAUUUUGCAUGCAUAGUAAAAUUGUGACAAGCAAAUAUUAGCUCAUUGAUUGUCUAAAGUUCAAACUAAAGAUAAGUGACAUUGUAAGAACGUUUACAUUGCGAGAAAGACAACUUACUUCAGUAGAUAAUCUAAAUGAGUUUGUAAUAUAAUGCCUAAGAAAUUCAAGUAUUUGAUUUGUUGGAUUUAGUCAUUAAAUAAGCAUCUACUUUAGUGGUUAAGUGAUUGGGUGUGUGUUUGAGGUCAUAGGUUUGAAUUUGAUUUUGGGAAAAAAUUCAAUUAUUUUUAUUCCUAACCUUAUCUUUGUUUGUUUGGCUUAAAUAAUAUUUCCGGUCAACUCAUGUCAAAAUAAGCCUGCUGGUUCAAGUGGUAAAGUGUUAACUUACCUUAAGAUCUUGUGUUCGAAUCCUUGCGUGGGCGAAUCGUAAUAAUUUUUGCUUCUGUGUGUGUGUGUCAUUUGUGUAGUAGAGGUUUGGUGGAAUUGAAAUUUUGUGGUAGUUGGAUGAGGAUUAGUGUGUCGAAUUUUGUGGGAUUUGGUUGGCAAUGAGGAUAGUUGGGAGUUGAAAGUAUUAUUUUGAAUGUAUUUUUAUUUUUAUUUUUGAUUUGUUUCCAAAAAUUCUUUUUUUCCCCAUUUUUUGGUUUCUCUGCAAAUUUUCUAUUGACGUUUGUUUUGGUCUCUUUCCCUUUUGCCUCUUUAUUCAACUUUGUCCUCUAAUUGCUUAACUGAGUCGUUGUGACUUGGAUCCCUUUUGGUUCUUCUUUCAGUUUGGUAAGUAGGGUUUAUAUGUGUUUGCUUGGUUUAGGGAUUUUUGGGAGUGACAAAGUGUGGUAAAGGUUUUUGUAACAGGAAAUUAACAGUUGUGAAUCUAUUGAUUUAAGUGGGAAUCGUGAGUUUAACGCUCCUCCAACGAAUUAAUUCUCAUAGGGAAGUGUUGUUCGUUUAAGGGUGAAUGUUUUUGUCAAUUAGGUAUAGCUGCAGUUGUUGAAAUUUUGAUUCUUUAGGAAGUUGAUGAACUUUAGUUUCAUAAAUUGGAGUGCUCAUAGGGAAUAAUCUGUUAAGUUUGUGAUUUUUUUAGGUACUGGUUGUCUUGUGGGAGCAUUCGUAUCAAAUCUAGACCAGGUGUGUAACGAGAAACCCGAAAAACAGUGAACAACAAAAGCUAAAAUUGGGCACUAUCGACGCCACACGGUCGUGUGACAGAUCAUAUGCUAGACCGUGUGUGACACAUGGUUUGGGCUAAUUUGGGCCUUAUGGACCACACGUACGUGUGUGGGCCGUGUGCCAAGCCGUGUGGGCAUAAAAUUUAAGAUUUUCCCUAGGGUGAUACACGUCGUCCUGAACGACCGUAGGCCUCCCGUAAGGUCAGUAUGAGACUAAAUACGUUAUAAGACAUGAAAUCUAGACUUCUGUUGAUACAAAUUCUGUUAUCUGUGAGAGUAAUCGAAACAUCAAAUGAGUAAUAAAUCUGUAUAUGUAUGAUAAGUAUGUGGUUCGUAUUUAAUAUGUUGUGCAUGUAAAGCUAUGUCACAUUUAAUUUUUGCUCUGAAUAUGUAUGAUAAUUUUUUUACUCUGUAUCUGCAUAUAGGUUGGGUUGUAAAUAACAUGUGGAGAAAGUGAUUUUAUAAAAGGCGAUAAAUCGUCUAUUGAUCCGGCAGCUCAGCUGCAACUAUUCUGUAAAGUGUCUUAUGGACACUAAGUGGUGUGUAGGGAUGGAUGAAUGUUUUAUACCCAUAUGGUGUGUUGGGAUGGAUAGAGUUGGUGUGUAGCAGCUGAGGGUAGGAUUAUGUGUUGUAUCUGUUAUGCUCUGCUAUAAAUCUGUUUAUGAUGGAUCUGUCUGAUAUGUAUUUUACUGUUUUAAGUUUAUCAUUAUACAUUGAGUUUCAAAACUCACUCUCGGUUUCACUGAUAUUUUCAGGUAAUCCUCAGACUUAGGCGGAUCGGUGCGACAGAAGCUCGGUUUUACUAGUAUUUUGAUUCUUUAACUAUUUUAAUUUGGAUUAAGUGUUUUGUAAAAUUUGGAUACUUUGGACAUUUUGGGACUAUCUCAAUUUUCGAUUUUACUUUGGAUUUUUGCAUGAUAAUUGAUCAAACGAUUUACUAAAAAUGAUUAUUUUUCUGCAACAAACUGGUUUCCAGAAAACAAACUCGGUUUUCCAGAAUAUAAUGAUCUAAGAAUUUUUGCUGCAUAGUAUUCGAUAUAUUUAGAAAAUAUAAACAAACAACGCUUUUAAUUAAAUAAUUAUGGAAAACACGUUUUCAAAUAAAACGGGCUUUUAAGUAACAAAAGUUUACGAUUUUUUUCAAUAAACAAAAGCCGGAUUUACAACUGUUUUACGUAGCAUCUUGAAAUCUAGCCAUAACCUCUAGGUCAGGUUUAGGGUGUUACACAUAAUCCCGUAAAAGAAUUGAAAUGAGCAUUUGAUUCAAAUACAAAGAAGGAUUAUUAUGUCGUCUACAAUUCUAAUUGGGGAGAUGGCUAGUCUUGGCUAUUGGAGCAGUUGACUCCAUGAGUAGAGACAUAGAUGUAUUCAUUGGUAGAAUGAUACAUUGGACUAGACCUAAGAUGAACUAAUUCUAAAUCCGUUUGUGAAUUAAUUCACUUGUGACGAUCAUAAUGUGAUUUACCUAAAUCUUGAGUUAGUCACUGACCAUGCGUAUACAACUCAUGUGCUUUGAUAUAAGUGGAGGCUUAUGUUCUAAAUAUGAUUGAGCCCAUAGCCGAUAUGUUGGGUACAUGACUUGUGUCUGACAUGGCUUUACUAGAAAAAAUGGAAUUCAUAGCUCAAUUAAAGCGUUAAUGAUAUCCUCUCAUUGGCAUUAUGUGGAUUGAUAAAUAUGGAACGUGGCCACGAGUUACUCGUUCUCAAACGAGCAAUUUAUCACAAUCAUUUGUUGAUAGUGGUCAUAUAAUCAUUAAUAAGACGCAAUGGUGACAAUGAGAUAAAAUAUGAUUGUAUUGAGUGAACGGAUUUAACUAAAUGGAAUCAAUGAUAUCAUAUGAGGGUAACACACACAUGAUGAGGUCAUUGGAAAAAACAGUUGGAUGAAUUGCUUUCGUAAAGAGUAUACAAUAAGGAGUUAUCAAUCAUGGUACUUAUUGUGGACUAAUUCCAUGAUUAAGUACUUGUGAAUUAUCAGAACAAUGCUUCAGGACAUAAUUGCAAUCAUUAUAGCCUAAUUGUAUAUAUCCGAUUGGUCCCUCCGCUAGCUCAACAAAAGCUUGAUCAGACUGCGUUUGAAUCAGAAGAAAAUUCUACGAGUUUGACAAUAAUUUAAUUGAGUUGAUUUAUUCGAUGUGGAAUUAAAUUAGGUGGUUGCAAGAAUUGUUCAACUAGAGAAUUUUAUUAAAGAAUUUUCUUGAAAAAUUAAUUUGGAAAAUCUAAAUGAUUUUUGUAAAAAUUAAUUUUGGUCAAGUAAAAUUAAAUUAAUCAAAUCAAUUAAAUUUAAUAUGAUAUUUUUGGAAGUUAAUUUUCAAGUCAGACAAUUGGCCCAAUGGGUAAUUGAACUUGAAAAUUGGAUAUGGGAUCGUAAAUUGGGCCCGAGAGCCCAAAACUGAGACCAAGAUCCAAAAACUGGUCGAACCGGACCCAGUAUGUGAAACCGGAAAAAUUAAAGUGCUAAUUUGUUGAAUUUUAUUCAUAGUUGCAACUUAAUAUUUAUUGAACUAAAAAUGUAAAAUAGCAGUAGAGAAAAAAUGAAAUAAAUGACAACUGAAAAUAUAAAAUAACGACAGGUAAAAUUUAAAAAAAACUCUCUCAUUUUUAUUUGGAAUCGUCUUUGACCGAGACAGUGUCAAAGGGCCAUCUGUCAAACCAACCAUACUCAUCUAAGAAAAAAUUAUACUAUUGUCCCACAUGUCUGCCUAGCAUUUGAUUAAGGAAUGGUAGCGAGAAAUGGUCCUUCUGAGUUACUCUAUUCAACUUUCCGUCAUCCUCACAAAUUUGCCUGCUCGUGAUUAUCCUUGUUGGAAUAAGCUCAUCCUUCUCUACAAUUGCGAUAACCCCUUCUUCGGUACACGUUGAACCAAACUCACCCAAGAGUUAUCAAAGAUGGAAUAAAUGAUCUCGACUUCUAACCAUCAGCACUUGAUAUUGCAUCAAUCUCCUCUAUCCCUUGAUAGACCCAUUUCUAUUAUCUUCUAGCUAUAACUUUAAGUCAACUUUGGGUGAUCCCCCAAUUGACAGGUUGAGUUGCUUGAACUCAUGGGAUGACGACUUUAAUGAUUUGAUUUGAACUUCUAACAUAUCAUUUAGGGAAUUAAGUUCCAAUUCUGUAGGAACCAACGAAUCUAACUUGGAAACAACAAACAAUUUUUAACCUUAUCAGGAUAUCUUAUGGCCGUGAGUACAUUAAAGGUCAUUUCAUCUUGAACUCACAUGGUGAAUUCACCUUUAUGCACAUCGAUUAAUGUCCUACCAGGUGCCAAGAAAGGCCUUCCUAGGACGAUUGGUACUUCUUUAUCUGCUUCAAAUUUUAAGAUAAUAAAGUUAGUAGAAAAUAUAAAUUUAUCAACACAUACCAAUACAUAUUCAAUCUUCCUUUUUAGAUGUGUUAUUGAUCUGUCUACCAAUUGAAGUGUAAUAGUGGUUGAUCUAGCCUCACCAACACCCAAUCGUCUAAACACCAACAUGGGCAUCAAGUUAAUACUCGAACCCAAAUAGCAUAAAGCCUUACCACAAUAGGAUUAUUCAAUAUUGUAAGGUAUGGUUAAAAUUUUUGGAUCCAUCAUCUUGGGGGGUAACCUAUUCUGAAAAAAUAAGCUACAUUCUUUUAGUUACAACUAUAGUUUCAAACGCUCCACACCUUCUCUUUUUAGAAAGAAAUUCUUUCAUAGGUUUCGCGUAGUUUGGCAUUUGCUCUAAUACUUCCACCAACGGAAUGUUGAUACGCAAUUAUUUCAGUACAUCCAAAAUUCUCUUAAAUUGGGUAUCAUGUUACUGCUUAUGUUGCUAGAGCCUUUAAGGAUAAGGAGGCGGCAAAACCUUGGCUUGAACUGGACAACUCUUUCGAGGUAAUAUUUGUAACAGCCUGUUUCUAGUGAUAUCAAAAAUAGUGAUUUCAAUACCACAAUUUUGACGAGUAAAUUAUUAUUUUAUUAUUUAUUUAAGGUCUACGGGAUUGUAGUAAGGUCGAUUAAAAUUUCGAUAAAAAAUUUUGAAGUUUACUUAGUUAAAUAAGUGAAAAUGACUAAAUCUUAAAAAGUGAAAAAGUUGAGUUCUAUUAGUUAAAGGAGUCAAAUGGCCAUGAAACCUUAAACUAAAGGACUUGAAUGGUAAAUAAACCAUUUAAUGAGAUAGUGGAUAUGCAUGGAUAGGUUUUAAUGAAAUUUUAAAGAUUUUAAAAAGUUUGUUUGGUAAAUUGACCAUUAAGUUAAAAUGUUAAGUAAAUUAAAAGACAAAAGAUAUCAUCUUCUUUCUUUUUUCAUGCCAAAACUGAUUUUAGCCAUUAAAGGGGGGAGAGUUCGGCCAAGACUUGUUUCUCUUGCAUGGUUUGAUUUUCAACCCUAUUUUUAAUGAUUUUUAUGUUUUUGAGAUCGUUUUAGCUUAAUCGCCUAGGGGUUAAUUUGUAAAAUUGUUAAAGGUUGAGGGACUUACCAUGAAUUCUUUCGAGUGAGUUUUGAUGUUAAUUGAUAGAUUAUGAAUCUUUAUUGAAAAAUAAACAAGUUUUGUUAAGUGAUUUUUGAUGAAUUUUGGAAAUAGGGAUUAAAUUGUUAAAAGUAUAAAUGCUAAGGUUUUGUUGUGAAAAGAUGGUAAAUAUGGGUUUUUUCAAGGUUCCUUAUGUCUUUGAUUAACAUGGAUUUGGAUUAAAAUUGUUAGAUUUUAAGUUAUAAGCUUAAGGCCUAAAUUGUGAAAAGUUAACAUGUUAAGGGCAAAUUGGUAAUUUUGUAUAAAUAUGAAAUGUGGAUUAAAUUGAAUACUAAAAGUAGUUAAUUGAUUGAAAUUAUCUAUUUAGAUCAAGAUAAACCACGUUCGGACUUGCAUCGAGGAAAAGUUAAAGCUUCGGACUAGUUCAAUUAAACUACUGCGCCUUAAUUAUCGAGGUAAGUUCUUAUGAACGGCAAUUGUGUUAAUGUUAUUUAAAUUGAAUGUUUACUAUGUUAUGUUUAGUGUAAAAGGACCGAUAUAUAAACGUAUCAAUGCUAUGACAAAUUUACAGAUAUUGAGUCACGGUUGAACAUUAGGAAUUCUUAAGAUACAAAUGACAUGCCAUUAGGGAUUUCAUUUUUCAGGUGCUGGUCCUUGAAUGUCCUACCGAUGGUUGAGGUCCUACAUUUGUUGUGGAUUCUCCAUAGCUCGUGUGAACAGCAUCGUGUAGCUUACAUUUUGGCCCACGACUCAUAUAAGUAGACCUAUCUCACAACUCGUGUGAGCAAUGACGUAAAGGAAAGGUUACAGUUAUAUGUAAAGGCACACUUCAUGUGAGCUUUCCCGAGUAUCCGAUGUAAUUCUAGAUGGUUCAAUAGUUUUGAAAAGGAAAUGAAAUGGUAAGUGUUGAAAUGGAAUGCAUCAUAAACUUAUGAAAAGGAUUUAUGAACUAAAUGAUGUGACUACAUGUGUAAAUUCACUUGUUUAUGGAUGAAUUCAUUUGAACCAUGUACAAGAGUACUAACUUGUGAAUUUGGUGAUGUUGUAAAGGCUUAUGUCAAGCUUAUGGUUUUAGUUGGUAUUACACAUAUACUAUAUAGAUUAUGCAAAUGAAAUGGUAAAUUGUAUUUAAGUUUAUACGAGCUUACUAAGCACUUGUUGCUUACGUAGUUUCUUUCCUUUGUUUUAUAGUUUAUUGAAAGCUUGAUUUGGUUGGAAGCUCGUCGGAGAUCUAUCAUACUAUCCAGUAGUCAAUUCGGUAGUUCUUAAGCAUUUUGGCCAAGGUUUAUAAUGGCAUGCAUAGGGUGUUUUGUAAUGGUAUUUUAAUGAAUGAGUUAAUGGUUUUGGCAUGUAUAAGUUUUGAAAGUUAUCUUGAUUUGGUACCAUUUGGUGCCUUGACAAAAUAUGUCAUUUUCGUUUCCUUAUUAUGCAUGUUUAUAAGGCUCUUUACGGUAUGUUUUGGAUGGUUUGGAAAUGGUUAAAUAUGGUAUGUUUUAGUACCUAAAUGGACUAGAUUUGUAUGCAUGAAAUGAAGUAUGUGAACAUGUUUAGGUAAGUAAUGUUUGGAUGCUAAUGGUGGUGCCUUUGAACGACAUAUUGGUUAAUUGAAUUAAGGUCUUGGAAAUGGAAAAUAUAUGUGUGCUUGAAUGAUGUUUUGGUCCUUUGAAAGUGUGCAGAAUUUGAUUCAAUAUUUAUGCAUGAAAUUGUUUUGAAAUGGUUUGAUUUUAGGUAAAUUUUGGACCCAUAUAGCUUGGGACCCGAGAGUUAUGGCGUUUGCCAUACGGGAGUGUGACCCUACUUAGAGAGUUACACGGGUGAGGACACAGGUUGGGACACGGCUGUGUGUCCCUAGCUUGAAAGUUACAUUGACUGGGGCUAUGUCACAUGGCCAUGUGACACCUGUUUUGCAAUUUUUGCAUCUUUUCCUUAAAAUUUUCAAUUUGUUUCAAAUUAGUCUCGAAUUUCUCUUAAGCUAUUUUUAGGGCCUCCAGGGCUCGAUUUAGGGACAAUUUGCAUGUGAAUGAAUGAUUUAUGAUAUUAUUAAUGUGUUGAAUGAUAUGAUGUUCAAACAUUUUUUAUUGUACGGUAAUGCUCUGUAACCCUAAUCCAACGACAUAGACGAGAAUAUUUCUGCAGUUAUUUUAAUAGUUAGGUUAUUAGAAUUAGCUUGUUGCAAUAUUACCUCUUUAGGAGUUGCAAAUUCCGACUUCUAUUAAUUAGGGCUUCCAACACUCAGUUGAAUUUGCUCCUUAUCUGUAGGCCUAUCUUAAACCUCAACAACCUUGGGCUUUAAUGUCUUUUCACUUCACAAAGUGACCGCUUUGCAAUUCUCCUUUCCCGAAAUUCUUGGAUUUUUGGUGUAGCUGUGUAAAGCUGCCCCCAUUUGGUACUCCGAAUUCCUCAGAGUUGCAUCACUCUUUUCCAUGUAUGUUUUUAAUAAGUUUUCAAGAUUAUUAUAAGAAUUGGUUGGUGAAUAAUUUUCUAUGUCGCCUAGUACAAGACCUUGGGGUUUGCUUCUAAGUUCAUUAGCUAAUUGUCCCACUUGAUUUUCCAGAUUCUUCAAUAUUGUUGCCAUGUCUUGGAUCAGUGUUGUUUGGCCUUGAAUCAAGGCAUCAUUUCUCUUUAUGUAAGCCUUCAAAAAAUUCUUAAUACGAUUUGAAGGUUCAGUUGGUGGUGGGUUUUGAACUUGUUGAGAGAACCUUAACGGUUGAUUUAGUCUAGGUUGUAUGUAAGUGUUGUUAGGACCAGUUCCUUAGUUACUCCAUGAGAAAUUUUGGUGAUUCUUCUAUGAAGGAUUAUAGAAGUUCGAUUGUGGUCCUGGCCCAUUUUUGUUCUGAUUUGGAUUUUCCAUAUGAUAAAUAGACUCUGGGUUUGAUAGACAAUUUUCAAACGAUUGUUCAUCUCCAUAAUAUACACAUGAAAUGCUUUCAAAUUGACUUUGUGGUUGAGCUACAACAUUAUUAUUAAAACCGUUAGCAGUAAAAUUAUUAAGCAUUGAAAACAUAAAAGACACAUGAGUUGCAAGUGAAGUAAGGGCAUCAACUUCAUGUACUCCUGCUACUCAUCUUCCUAUGGUUGCUUGACUAGUUGGCCACUGAUAGUUAUUGUUGGAAAUUCUCUCAAUAAUUUCAAAAGCCUCAUUUUAAUACUUAGAAAUGAGAGCUCCAUUUGCAGAAGUGUCUACCACCGUUCUCGUGUGUGCGUUAAGACCAUUAUAGAAAGUUUCCAAUUGGAUGCAAUAUGGAAUCCCAUGGUGAAUGCAUUUUUGUAAUAAUUCUUUGAAUCUCUCCCACGCCUCAUACAAGGAUUCAUCAUCUAGGUGUUGAAAUGUGGUGAUAUCUUUUCGCAAUUUAGCAUUUUUGCUAGGUGGAAAAUACUUUAUCAAGAAGCAUUCUGCUAACUCUUACCAUGUACAAAUUGAACCAGGUAGCAACGAAUAUAGUCAUGCUCGUGCUCUGUCCCUUAAUGAGUAUGAGAGCAACUUCAACCUUAGUGCAUCUUUGAUCACUCCAGCCAAUUUAAAAGAAUCACUUACCUCGAAUAAUUGAAGGUCAAGGUGUGGAUAUUCGGUAAGCAUCCCACUAAACUAGCCCACUACUUGAAACAUUUGGAACAUGAUAAGUUUUAACUCAAACUGUGGUGCCUCGAUAUCAGGUCUAACAAUACUAGGAUUAAGUUCAUAAAGAAGUGGCAUGGCAUACUUCAUUAUGGUUCGGUCUUUGUUCUUAGCAAUAACUGGAUUGCGAAGAUAAGCGGCUUCAUUUCUUUGAUCUUGGUUUUGAUUAGGAUUCGUGCCUGCGGCUUGUCUUUCUCGUCUUCUUUGUUUGAAUGUCCAUUCAAUUUCAAGGUCUACUUAAAGUAAGUUGAUAAUUCAAUCAAUGCUCAUAAGUACCUGAAAAGAAAAUCACAAAAUUUAACUAAGUUAUGAAUAAAAACUAAACCAAAUUGCAAAAAUAAAGUCACAAAUAAUGAUUAAAGUAACAGUCCCCCGGCAACGGCACCAAACAUUUGUAACAAGUGGAAUUGUAACAAGUGAAAAUGUGCAAGUGUACACAAUUGUAACAAGUAAUAAAUUGAUAAGUAUAUCGAGUUAUCGUAUCUACAGGGACAGCCUUAUAUGAAUCAAGUAUUGUGAAAUUAAUUACUAGCAAAUUGGUUGGGAUGGAACUAAAUUCGAGUGAUGGGUUUUAACUAGAUUAAACUAACCUAAGUAUGCUUAAAAUUAAAUAAAUGAGAAAGUAAUUAUUCAAGUCUUUAAGAAAAAUCACAAUAGUAUGCAUGUUACGAAAAAUUCCAUGGCAACUCAGUUGUUUAUUAACCUUAUUUUAAUUAGGGGUACUUUGGCUUCUCUAGAAGUCCAAAGUUUAAUCGCUUGUUUGUCACGGCUUUAAGGUCACCUUUUCAGGCAUCGUCUAAGAAUUCAAAUUACUAAGUUAUUAAGUAUAGCAUAUGCCUAUGUCAACAACUGAGUAAAAUUAAUAAGUAGAAAAACAAAUUACAUGAGGUAACAAUAAUAUUUCUAUACCAAAAUAGUUUCAUCACAUUAAUCCUAAAAUUAUGCAAGGUAAUAAGGUUCUCACAAAUUAUUACGAACUUUAACCUUAUUAUCCCAAAUCUAGAUUAAAUAUUAACAAUUUCGAUAUUAUGUUAAUUUAUUACAAUCCAAACAGGAUUCAAAAAUUAAUUCAGUUGCAUCCUUACGAUUAUAAUGUAUGAAUAACAUAGUCAUAAUUUUAUCUAAAUGCAUAAACAACUGAAACACAUAACAUCACUCACAGCAUAAAUAAUCUAAACCAUGGAAAUUAAAUUAUUCUAACACCAAAGGAAUUAAGAAACCAUAAUUAUAUUAAAAACAUAAACUUUAGUUGAAAACAAGUUUCCUUAAACUAAACAAUAAGAAAUUAAAAGAGUAAAGGGAAAGAAUUGCAAAUCCAUUUUCAAUGGUUCUCCGUGACACAACUUCAUUGCUCCUCCUUUUUGCUCCACUCCUUGCCGCAGAAGCCAAGGAAAAAUGUUUCCAUAGUGGUCGAAUAGGCUACUUCUCAAAUCAUUGCACAACUCACUUCGAAAAUGGAAAAAUAAGAAAGGAAAGCAAAGAAAGAAAGAUGGAUGAAUAAGGGAUGAUCAAAUGAGGGGGGUGAAGGGGUGUAUUUAUACUAGGAGGGGAUGGCUUGAGUUUGCUAAAAAUAGCAUGCCAAUCCCCCCUCUAUGGCCGGCCUCCUUAAGAAGAGGAAUGGAGUGGACGAAUUUGCUAAAAAUAACUAGUCCAAGGCUUAAUUUAAGGGAUGGAGUUGAACAGUCACUUAGAAAAAUUGUUAGGGUUGUUUUGUGAUUUUAUUUAACAAGUAUAAAGACCCUUAAUUAAUUAAUCCAUGGAUGGUUGGGUUGCUCAUAGCUGAAUUUGGGCUAUUUUCUUCUUAAUGGAAGGUUUGGCUGCAAAAUUAAGCAACAAGCUAGCCUACUUCCGUGAUCUAAUUAUAAGUUGGGUCAAGUCUAUCUCAUGAUCCAUAAAUUAAAUUAAAUAAAUUUGAAUGUCCACAGCUAAUUACUUAUUAGCCCUUUGCUGCAUGGCAAGUGUGACAUGAAUGAUAUAGCAUUUUAUUGUAAAAAAAAGUGAGCUUUGAGAUUGCAUUUUCUCUUUUUUCAACAAACUGCUUCAAAUUUAGAAAAAAAAUAUGUAAGCUUAGCAUAUAAACACUUUAAAAAUGGAGUUUUUUUUAAAAUUUUUUCCAUGUCUGUAAUUUUAUAAUAAAAUCACAAGAUUUGUUGUAGAAAUACUCAAAAUUUGCACGAAUUACUAGUCAAAAGAUGCUAAAAAAGUCUAUAUAAUUUAGAUUUAUCACCAACCCCACUACAAAACAGAUAUUUGAGUGUGUGUAUAACAUUGCAUACAUGAGAUUUCCUACUAUCGAAGCAUAAUGAACCUUUCUUCUGUUCUCUUUUUCUUCUGCUUUCUUAGGACAAUCCUCUAAAGAGAGAUGAAAUCCCGACAAAGAAGAUUGAUUUUCUUCUUCAAAUCGAUCAUUGCAUAGCGCUCUAAUAUCUUGUUUAUGUGAUCUGCCACAAAUUGAUGUGGCAAAUUAGGCUUUUCCGACGCAUUUAAGGAGUUUUUUCUCGAACAAAAUAGCGUCUUCAGUGUAGUUUUUCGUUAUUUUCAUAUUUUUGGUUAAUAAGUGGAAAUGUUUCAUUGUUUUAUCAUUUUGUAACCUAAAUUGGCCAAUAGUGCCGUUGAGAGGCCAAACGUGUCAUUAAGUGAUGUAAGGACGUGUUGAAGGUCGAAAAUAAGUGAGAAUGGCACCAAGGCAAAGGGUAUUGCAAUAUCCACUCCUUGGAAUCACAAUAUCUCUAACAAUAUAGGAGAGUGAAGACUCCCUUCAGUGGUAUCAUGAUACCCUCUUUGGGUAUUGCGAUAGCCACCUUCCAAGGAAGACUCCAAGGCUCAACAUUCCCCAAGGUAUCGCGAUAUCCUUUUCUUGGUAUCGUGAUACCACCUUUGUUAGGUAGACAAAAUUAGAAAAAAAGGGUUGUCUUUGUCUACCCAGACCACCAAUCACACAACACUCGUGUAGGGGCAUUUUUGGCAACGAAAAGUCACCUGAAUACACUUCAAAACAGCCAAAAUUUGCUAAGGAGGAGAGACGCACACAUUAGCUUAGCUUUAGGUUUAGUUUUUUCUAGGUUUUUUUAUUUUUUUCUCUGCACUUUUCUAGAGCUUUUAUUUUCUUCUUCUUCUACCCUACUUUAGGUUUUAUUUUCUGCAUUUACUUCUUGAAUUUACUAUUACUUUAGGUUUCAUUUUCUGCAUUUACUUCUUGCAUUUACUGUUACUAAGGUUUAUUUACAUUUACAGUCCAUGUAUUUUGCUUUCAAAACUCUAGCUUUAGUUUAAUGUAUUUCAGUUUAUUUGAAUUUAAAUCUGUUAAAGUUUAUUCCUUUUAUGUUCUUUACUUUAGAUUUUCUUGUUGAAUGCCUUUAAGUUUUCUUGCACAAAAAUCUCAACAUUUAUCUUUUCCUUAAGCUUUACUUUCAUGGCUACUUUGUUUUCCAUUUCCAUGUUUAUUUCCUUCACUUCGAGUAUGAGUAUUUAAACCUUGAAGAAGGUUGGUUGAUGGAAAUGUGGGUAAACUAAAAUCUUUGGACCAAUGACUAAAUCGUAAUAAAUUGGACUAAAUUGAAUAGAACUAAGAACUUAAGUAAUAAAUUGGACUAAAUCAAAUACAACUAAGAACUUAGGUAAUAAAUUGGACCAAGGACUAAAUUGUAAUAAAUUGGAUAAAAUCGUAAUAAACCAACCCCCAUUAGUUAUUUUUUGGAUAGUCCCUUAGUUUUACAUUUUUUGCAAUUUUAUCCUUAGAAUAGAACAUUUAAUCUUAUUGUAAAUUCUUCUUGUUAUGGAUCAUCGUACAAUAAAAUCGUGUUAGUAGUCACUUAGACUCUAUUGUGUAUGCUAGCUAUUGCUUAAUCACCUCUUCCUUUGGGUUCGACCCCUUGGAAUACUUCGUGUUCCAUCGGAACUAUAAAUAUUACAAUUGACAAUGUACAUUUGCAAUAAACCAGACUUUAAAAAUAGUUUUAUAAAUUUAGUAUUUUAAUACGUAUGCGUGCUGCCGAUCACUAUGUAUGAAGCCUGAGACAGUGCUAUCACUUUUUUCUUUCGAUCCCUUAGGAUUUGAAUGCUUAGAACAAAAUUAGCUUCUCCUAAGUUCUUCAUGCUAAAUUAUUGGGUUAACCACAACUUAACCGAUGAUAACGUCCCUACAUAAAUUCUAAUGAGUAGAAUGCCAUUGACAUAUGGAACGAGAAAGACCAUAUUUCCAUCCCCUAAACAUUUAUAAACACAAGAUUCAUCUACGUUUUGCUCAAAUCCAAAAGUCUUUAUCACUUGAUCAAAUCUUUGAUUCCAUAAGUGGGAUGCUUCUUAAGUCCAUAUAUGGAUCUAAGUAGUUUGCAAACUUUAUGCUCAUUUACUUUAGCUAUAUAUUUGGUGGAUUGCAUCAUAUAGAUGCUCUCUUAAAGAUAGUCAUUCAGAAAUGCUAUCUUGACAUUCAUUUUCUAGAUCUCAUAAUUAAGAGCCAUCGAAUGGAUAACAGUAUACGGACAGACUUGAAUGUGGUAACCGAAGAGAAGGUUUCUUCGUAACUGAUACCUUCUUUUUUAGUAUAACCUUUUGCUACAAGUCUGGCCUUAUAAGUUUCCACUUUUCCAUCUGCAUUUAUUUUCUUUUUAUAGAUCCAUUUACACCCUAUAGGUUUUAACCCUUCCGGUAAGUCUACAAGUUCCACCACUGAGUUUGAAUACAUAGAAUCCAUCUCAGUUUUCAUAGUUAUUUCCUAGAACUUAGAAUCAACAUUUUGCAUUGCUUCAUCAUACGUGAGUGGGUUAUUAUCUUCUUGUUCGAUAGACUUAGUGUUAAAAACAUUCUCGCUAGAUUGAAAGAAGUCAGGCCUAUGAGAGACCCUCCCACUGCAACGAAGCACCCUAUGCUACUGAUUGUUUGCAGGUCUACUAUUAGGAGUUGGUUCUGGAACUGUUUCUGUAGGGUUUUGUAUAUUUCUGGAAAGUUCCUCGAGUACAUCUUUAAUUCAAGGUUUGAAGUCAUUCAUAUAACUUUCUUCAAGGAAAGUAGCAUGAGUUGAAACUAUUAUAGUUUGCUCUUUCGAGUUAUAAAACAAACCACAUUUUUUUCCCUUUGGAUAUACUACAAAUAUGCAUAAUUUUGUCCAUGAGUCCAACUUCCUUGCAUUUUUGUCUGAUAUGUGAACUAGGCAUCCCCAAAUUCUUAAAUGAUAAGAUUUAGCUUCUUGUCGUUCCAUAAUUCAUACGGAGUUUUUGAUAUUCCCUUAGUAGGUACAUCAUUCAGAACAUAGCAAGCCAUUUAUACCGUAUAUCCCCAAAAAGAGAUUGAAAACUUUAAAUAACUUAACAUUGAAGCACCAUUUCUAACAAUGUUUGAUUUCUACUCUCUACCAUGCCAUUCUGUUGUGGAGUACCCGAUAAGUUCAAUUAGGAUAAAAAUCUUAUUCUCUAUGAGCUAUCCUAAAAACUUAGUGAUAAAUAUUCCUCACCUAAAUUAGACCGAAGUGCCUCUAUAGGUAAACCUAGAUUUUUCUCUACUUUCAUACGAAACUCUUUGAAUUUAUCAAAGGUUUCAUUCUUGUUGUGCAUUAGGUACACAUGCCCAUAUCUAGAAUAAUAGUCAAUAAAUGUUACAUAAUAUUCGUAAUCACUUCUUGCACUGAAACUCAUGGGGCCACAUAUGUUAGUGUGCACAAGUUUUAGGGGGUUUUACGAUCCUCGUUUCUUUUGCAUUAAAAGAUCACUUGGUCAUCUUUCCUUUCAAGCAAGAUUCACAUUGUGGAAGUUUGAUUUUUUUUAAGCGAACUUAAGUUGUCGUCUUUCACAAGUCUAGUGAUUCUUUCUUGGUUAAUAUGACCACGUCUCAAAUGCCAAAUGUACACUUCAAUAGAGAGAUUUUUCAGUUUCUUAUUCGAUAUUUCAGUCUCAAGUAGUGUGUACAUCUUUGGUUUGAUAAAAUAGAGAUUAUUUGACAUGCAUCCAUUACAGAUAAGAUUUCGAUUUCUAAAUAUUGUAAUUUCAUUAUUAAAAGUCACAAUUAAGUCGCCUUUAUAUAAACCUACAAUUGAAAUUAAGCUUCUUUUGAAACUUUGUACAUAGAAAAUGAAUUUCAAAAUAAUCUUCCUAAAAUUUUCGAAGUAUAAAUGUACAUCUCCCACUGCUUCAGCUAUCACAAUUGUCCCAUUUCCACCCCACAAUGAAAGAUUCUUAUCUAUAAGAUCUUUCAUCUCUUCGAACCCCUUUGCCUUUGGUGGCUAGGUUUUCCUUCCACUCUCUACAGUUCGUAUUGAGGUGCCCUUUCUUACUGCAAAAGAAGCAUUUAGACUUAAAUAAAUCUUUAAGCAUUUUGGUUCUCUUCCUUUCCACUUGUGGUAGCCUAGAGACCUUAUUCUUUCCUUUCUUAGCGCGAUUUCCCUUCCCUUUUGAGAAAGAAGCGAUAGUUACAUUUGCUUAUGCUUUUCGAACCGACUGACCACUAUUCAACAUCAACUCAUAGGAUUGUAACUCCUUCAUGAGUUGUGUAAGUAUCAGAUUUUUGUUGCCAAUGUUAUAUACAUCCCAAAAGCUAGCAAAGUCCUUGGAUAAACUCUUGAACACCAUCUCAAUUUAAGUGUUUUGGUCCAAAUUGGCGUCAUUGUCCAUGGCCUUAACAAUGUAUCCCAUAAGAGCUAGCUAAACUCCUUUGAUUGCAUGUUUAUAUUUUAAGAAUUGCUUAAUCACUGAAUCUUUUAGGUUUGACCCUUGGAACAUUUCGGUGUUCCAUUAGGAAAUAUAAAUAUUACAAUUGACACCUGCAUUGCUUGUUCACAUAAAACAAAUAAUUUUAUAAAAAAAAUUUAAAAUGUGGUUUUACUUGCAAGCGAACAAUGUCAGUUGUAAUAUUUAUAUUGUUUAAUGGAACACAAGAGUGUUCCAAGGGUUAAACCCAAAGGAGUCGAUGAUUAAGCAAUUCAUAAAUUAUAAACAUUUAAUCAAAGGAGUCUAACUAAAUACUCACUAAGUACUAAAUUACAGCAGGUCAUUCACGAGUUUAAUUACACUAAUUAAUUACGUUAAAAACAAUAAAGGAUUAAAUUGUAAGUAAAACAAAAUAUGAAACUAACAAAUACAAAAAAAAUAUGAUAAUAGAUAGUGGUUGGUUGAUUUUUGUGGGAUUGGUUAAUCUUCAAAUUAGGGAUCUAAAUCGCUAUUAGUUUUAAAUUGGUUCGAUUUUACCUCUCAGCCUCAACUUUACCCAUUUUGACAAAUUAGUCUGAUUUAUCUCUCAACCUCACCAAACUAACCCGAGACUAUCAACUUAAUGCCUAAUAAGAUCUCCUCUCAGUCUCACUUAUCUUAAUUUUCCCUUAGGAUCAUCAAUCAUAAGUUUUAAAGUCUAUUUGAUUUAGUUUAAUUUUUACGAUUUAGUCCCUGAACCCAAAAAUUAAUUACCAUCAUUUCCAUCAACCACUCACUUAGGAUUUAGCUAUUCAUAUUUAUAUUUAAACUCAUUAACAACAAGGAAUCAAGUAGAAACACAAUUAACUUAAUAUAAAAAAAAGUUAAUAAAUACUCAAGCUUCCUUAUAAAAGCUUGAGGAACACAACAAUGGAAACAAAAAAGGUGAAUAAAAACACCCAAGAUAAGAUUUUUAAUAGAGGAAAUAUAACAGAGCUGAAUGAUAUUGAGUUAAUGGAUUAAAGUUCAAAUACAAGAAAGUUUGAAGGGCUUAAAAAGUAAAUAAAUCCUAGCUACAGCAAUAACUAACUUAACUAUCAUAAAAUGAACUAAGAAAAACAAUAGAUGAACAAGAGAAUAAACCCUUAGCUAUGAAGAAUAAGAACUAAACCCUAAAAGAUGAAGAGAAAAAUGUAAAACUAGAUAAUGUGAAGUGUGUUUGUUCUCUCAGCCAAUUUUGGCAAAUUUUAGCUUUUUUUCUAACCCAACAUUUAUGCCUAAAAUGUCCCUUAGUGUGUUUUUUAUUAGAGUUAAAUUUGGACAAGGUUUUUCCCUGCAAUCAUUUUUUGUCUCUUCUUGUCAGGGGUACCGUUCUACCCAUGGUUUGGUAUUAUGAUACAUAUGUUAGUAUUGACUUGAGGGAAUCCUUGGGAUUUGGGUAUUGCAAUACCCGUAGUUGGUAUAUCUAUACCACUGUGGCUAACCUUGAUCGUCUUCAAUUCAACAGUAUUAGAGGUAUCACGACUUUUAGGCUUGGGUAUCACGAUACCCCCUUCUAGGUGAUAUUUUCACUCAUGCUCUGGUCUCCGAUAACUUCCUACAACACUUAAUCAACCUUUAGGUUUCUUAUGGUGCAUUUGGCCAUUUUGGGUCUCAAAAGCGGCAUAAAACUCACUAUUUCACUUAUUAAGGCAAAAAAGUAAGACUAAGUAAAAACAUGACAAAAAUAUAUAAAUUGCUCGAAAAUAAGCUCUUUCAGCGUAAUGGGAGUCUAAUUUGACAUAUCAAAUUACAAUAGAACGACAAACGAAUAUACUACACUUAGGAAACCAGAUCCAACAUUGAGAUCAUCUACAAGAAACACAUUCUUCAAUUAAGGCAUGCCAGGAACAUUCAAGAUGCCUUUACCAAGUAUACAACCUUUCUUUCCACAGCAAAAGUCAUUUUUCCAACAAGAUAAUCUUCAAAGUCAGUGAGGUAUGUCUGGUUACUUGUCAUUGUGAACAACCACUAUCAAAAUACCAAAUUCCAUCAAAAGUGGAAUUCAAGGAACAAUGAGAAACUAGCAAACAUUUAGUUUCUUUCUUUACCCAUGCUCAUUUUUGCACUUUUCUAGUUGUAGUGCUAGGGGGAGUAGGCACUGUCUUAGGCACUAAAUUCUUCCAUCUUAAAUCAUGUAGCAUCUUAAAGAAACGUGCUCUUAUAUGGCCAGGGCCACCAUAAUACUGUCAAAUCACCUAUGGGAAUGAGCAUUCUUCUUGGAUGACUUGAAUAACAUUGGUUUAGAACUUUCACCAUCUUUUUUGAACUAGUUUCUUUAACAAAGACUAUGGGGCUUUCCAUUACAACCUUUCCCUUAUCAACAAAGCCUAGACCUCCUCUACCUAAAUCUUUUCUUCUUCCUACUAAAAUCUCAUCAAGCUUGUUGCUACUAAUAGUGAACUUUUUUUAGCAUAAGCUUGGUCUCUCAAGUUUCUUUUCUUUAUCUUCAUAAGAUUAUCUAGUUCCUUUAUAAGAAGAGAUUUUUUUAGCAAUAAUUUGUUUAAUCAACACAAUGUUUUCAUCCUUCAAUUGAUUGUUUUCUUAUGAUAGCUGAAUGUUGAUUUCAUAGACCUGUCCUCAUUUGCCUAAUGUCUCUCUAUAUGUCUUGAAAAAUUCUUCACCUAAGCUAAGAUCUGAAUCACUAUCAGAAUUAUCAUCAUUAAUAGCACUAGCAACAAAAGCAACAAAAUUGUAAUGAUCCUCUACUAAGUCAAAUCCAUUAGAUAAGUCCUCAUUACUCCAAGAUACACAUAUCCUUUUUAGAUUAUUAGCAUACUCAAAUUGGAUAACCAUAUCCUUGGCACUCAAAGCAUUGCACCUAUUCUUUUUGUCCUUAUCAAGUUCCUCCUUGAUAACUAUUCCCUUUGACUUUUUUGGGGGAAUAUUAGCACUGGCUUCUAACCUAUUUCUUGAAAGCCUUACUGAAAUUCUUAGUAAGUAAAGCUAUUUGCUCUUGAAGGUCUUCAAUGGUAGCUGGUUGGGGAUUUGGCACUACCUCAUUUACUUGAAGGGUAACAUUUUUGUCCCCCUUUGCUCUGUUAUGUUUAGCGUUAUCAAAAUUGAUUUCAAAGGUCUGUAGGGAACCAAUGAGUUCAUCAAUGGCCAACCUUUCAAUAUCAUUGGCCUCCUCAAUGGUUGUGACCUUAAUGGAAAAUAUCUUAGGAAGAGACCGUAACACCUUCCUAACCAAUUUGCCAUUAGAAUACUAUUCACCUAAGGCAAAAAGCUUGAUUCGAUAAGUCGCACAACUUAGCAUAUAAUUCUCCAAUUUUUUCUAAUUCUUGCAUCCUUAGGCUCUCAAACCUCGAAGUCAACAUUUGCAUCUUUAACUGCUUGACAAUGGAUGUUCCCUUCAUGUGCAAUCUCCAAAAUAUCCUAAGUAGUCUAAGUAAUUGUGUAUUUUACCAUUCUCUUAAACUCUUGCAUGUCAACUCCAUAAAAUAUUGCAUAUCAAGCUUUUGAGUUAGCAUUUGUCAACUUCUCUUCCUCAGUGGUCCACUGUGCUUCUAGCUUAACAACCCUUCCACUUUCAAUAUCCAUUUUGGGUGGUUCCUAUCUAGUUAACAUAGCAAACCAUGACCUCUCGCCAAUGGACUUAAUGUAAGCCUCCAUACGAGCUUUCCAAUAAGCAUAAUUGAGCAAAUAGGCCCCUCUAAAAAAAUUAGAGCAAUUGAAUUCCUGUCAAUUUUGAAAGUGAGCAAGUAAAGCAAUUAAUCAAGAAGCCAAUGUCUUCCUUUCAAUUGUACAUAAUUUUGAUUGGUAUAAUAACAAAUUUAGCCCUUGAUGUUUACAUAUUUGUCAAUUUAAUUUUUAUUCUAAAAAAAAUCAACAAAUUUAGACUCAACAUUUACACGUUUGUACAAAUAUUAUGAGUUGAAUUUGUUAAAUCAAAACAAAAUUGAAAGAACCUAUAAACUUUUAGAGCUAAAUUUAUUAUUAAACCAUUCAAAUUUAUGUACAAUUGAUGAAAAAUAUUAAUAUCAUGAUUGAUUGCACUUAAUUGCACACAUUCAAAAUUUAUAAGAAUUAAAUUGCUUCGAUUUUUUUUAAAGAGGCUAAUUUACUCAAUUUUAAAAUUGAGAGAGACUAGAGAAAUCUUUUAUCAAAUAAAUUUUAGCACUUCAUAAUUUUCUUACAAAAUAAUUUUUUAAUCAUACAUAUCCUCGUCGGAUUUACAAUUUAAAAUCAAAGUUAAUCAAAUUAAGAUAAUAUUCGUGUUUAAUCUAAUACUUAAAAGAAGUUGUUUCCCAUAAAUUUAAAAUCACAGGUUGAGGCUUGAAGAAUUCACAAAGUGUUUUAAUUGUUAUCGUUAACGUUACGGAAGCUAAGAGAAACAAAGACCAUAAUAGAAAAUUAUUUAAAAAUAUUAUCUCCAUUGAAGAGAAAAUUUCUUAAAAGAUAAUGAUGAUGAUUUGGGUUAUAUAAUAUGCAGGCCCCAUUAAAAUACUUUAUUUUCGAUUUGAUUACCUGCGGUGCUGAGUCACAUCUCCAUUUUUCCAUUUCAUGAUUUCAACAAUUUUUAUUUUUAUUUUAUUUUUUAUUUUCUAAGGGAAAAAAAAUAAGGAACUGUUUGGAGUUUUGACUUUGGAUGUACGAUCACAUAAGAUACAAAUAUAUUCAAUGCACGAACCUGUUAAAAUCCGAGUGAAUCCUUAAUCAACAAAUAUGGGAGUUGGACUUUUGAUGGAAGUUGGAAGCAAUCUUUUUAUAAAUACCACCUUUUCCAAGUUUGAUUUCCCAAAGAGUCAGCUACAUGACAUUUUGAUUAGUCUCUUUCUUAAUCUUUCUGUUUGUGUCUCUUUUCAAGGAGCAGAAGCCAUUGGAAUUCUGGGUUUUCUGUAUGUUCUUCUAACUUAUGAACUCUCUUCAUUUUCACUUUGCAUGAUAAUCUGUUUGCAUUGUGUUCGAUAUUUCGCUAUGCCGUGUUGUCAAAAUUCAAGAAAAUAUUCAUGUUGCUUUGAUCUUUUUUCUUCUCUUGGAAACCAUUAAUGUGUACUUGCAAAUAUUAUCACAUAGAAAACAACCCUCAGAACUUCAACUACUUAUGAUUGAAUUGCUUUUGCUCAAUUCAAGAUGUAGUUUCCAUUGCAUUUUUGGGUUAUUUUGAGCUAUUUCAUAAAUGGGUUCUCUGCAAUUCUUGGUCCCACUGUUUCAAGUACUUAUAACUGAAUGUUUUGAGCUGUUCCAUAUAUUGCUUCAUGGAUUGAUGCUUAUUCUUUAAUUUGCAGGAAAUUGGAAGAAAAUCAGAAUGGCAAGAUCAAGAGUUCCCAUCUUAAUAAUGGGAGUUGUGCUUUGGUGUUGCUUGACAACCCCAGCAAAAGCAGAAUAUAUGAAAUACAAAGAUCCAAAACAACCUAUACCUGUUCGAAUCCAGGACUUGUUGGAUAGGAUGACAUUAGAGGAAAAAAUAGGACAGAUGGUCCAAAUCGAACGCGAAGUUGCUUCAGCCGAGGUGAUGAAGGAGUAUUUCAUUGGUAAGCAACAUCCAUCACACUCUUCUUUGACAAGUUGUACCAAAUUAAGCAAUUUUUGAGUAAGGCAUACUCAAAAGUAAAAGGGUAUCUUUUGCUUUGACAGGAAGUGUAUUGAGUGGAGGAGGGAGUGUCCCAGCUCCUCAAGCUUCUGCAGAAACUUGGAUAAACAUGGUCAAUGACUUUCAAAGAGGUAGUUUAUCAACCCGAUUAGGAAUUCCGAUGAUUUAUGGGAUUGAUUCUGUUCAUGGGAACAACAAUGUUUACAAGGCAACUAUUUUUCCUCACAACAUUGGUCUAGGUGCAAGCAGGCAUGUAGAUGCGCUUUAGCUGUUUGGGUUUAUUCUUUAAUAUGGUUCUACAUUUCUACAUCCUUGCUGAAUUAUUUUUCUUAUAAACCAGGGACCCUGAACUAGUUAAGAAAAUUGGGGCUGCAACAGCACUUGAAACCAGGGCAACUGGCAUUCCAUAUGCUUUUGCACCUUGUAUAGCGGUAGCUUUCAUUUGCCUUUUCCUGUUACAUUUUUAUCUUUGGGGAUGUAUGAACUUCUUAUGAUGGUAUAUAAUUAAGCAAAUUUAACUAGUAAACUUUGAACAGGUGUGUAGAGAUCCAAGAUGGGGUCGAUGUUACGAAAGUUACAGUGAAGAUCCCCAGAUUGUUCAAGACAUGACAGACAUUAUACCUGGAUUACAAGGAGGCAUCCCUACUGACUCUCCUAAGGGAGUUCCAUUUGUUGCUGGAAAGUAAGCAGUUUUCACAAACUACACAUGUUCAACUCAAUUUCACAUUUAAGAGAUCAUCUUAUUUUAUAUAGUUAACUGUAUAUAACAAGAAGUCAUGCCAUAAAUGUCAUGCCAUAAAUUAUUGUACCUCUAUUUUUGAAAGGGAAAAACUAAUGUUGUGUAAACUGAAUUCUACUUCUUAUAAAGAGAAAACAAAAGUAGAAAUAUAGUCCCCACUUGCAUCCACAAUACAAAGUUUGAAUGCCUCAUGCAAUUAACUUGGUUGGUCUUACUUCUUAUCCACAACAUAUGUAGGGAGUUCCAAGCAUUUAUUGCUCUUUAAGAAGGAACCUAUAGAUACCUAUACUUUCUUAUUCUAAGCUUUUAAUGACAGAUUGAAAUCAUUUAAAUAAGAGGUUAUUAUGUUUUAAUGUUGGUGUAUUACUUUAUUUUUAUGUAAAAUAUCAUACUCCAACUUUCUAAUUGCAGAAUUUAUGCAGCCUGUAAAAGUCGAAACCAAUUUGUCUAAGUUUUUCUCCCUGUGGUAUGCAGGAACAAUGUAGUGGCUUGUUCUAAGCACUAUGUAGGUGAUGGUGGAACAACCAAAGGCAUAGAUGAGAACAACACAGUGAUAGACUGGCAAGGUUUGCUCAGCAUUCAUAUGCCAGCUUACUAUACUUCAAUUAUGAAAGGUGUUUCAACAGUCAUGAUCUCCUAUUCAAGCUGGAAUGAGAUUAAAAUGCAUACUAAUCGUGAGUUAAUCACGGGUUUCCUCAAGAACACACUUGGUUUUAAGGUAUAACUGUUUCUCAUAGCACCAAAAAAUAAAAAGUUCGAGUAACAUAGGCCCACCAACAUCGCUUUUCAAAAGAACCCGGGAGCAUAACAUAGAUUCUGCACAUUGUUUCAGGGGUUUGUCAUCUCGGAUUGGGAAGGUCUUGAUAGGAUAACAUAUCCACCACACGCAAACUAUUCAUAUUCAAUUCAAGCUGGAAUUCAUGCGGGCAUCGACAUGGUUAGAGUUCAUUUUUCUUAUGUUUUUAAAGUGUUGGAUGUACUUAUAAUAAUAAUGUGAACUAAUCGCAGGUCAUGGUUCCGUACAACUAUAAAGAAUUCAUAGAUGGGCUAACCUUCCAUGUGAAAAACAAUGUCAUCCCCAUGAGCCGCAUUGAUGAUGCAGUAAGGAGAAUUUUGCGAGUUAAGUUUGUAGUGGGACUAUUUGAGAACCCACUCGCUGAUAAUAGCUUGGUUGACCAACUAGGAAGUCAGGUUAGUUUAUUAGCUAUGUUUAAUUGUAUGGAACUGGUUAUUCUUGGGGAUUUCCUGGACCAUACAAAUCAUUGGCCUGGUUUUUCAGCUUUAAAGAUUAAGAUUAUUAUAAUGUCGUAACUUUUCCGAACCAAUCCGACAGGAACAUAGAGAGUUGGCUAGGGAAGCAGUGAGAAAAUCGCUUGUUUUGCUGAAGAAUGGGCAAUCUUUGAAUCAGCCAUUGCUUCCCCUACCUAAGAAGACCUCAAAAAUACUAGUUGCAGGUAGCCAUGCCGACGAUUUGGGUUAUCAAUGCGGUGGAUGGACAAUGGAGUGGCAAGGAUUUAACGGCAACAACCGUACAAUUGGUAUUUCUCAGCCCUGUGCCAAUAUAUUCCUAGCUUUUAUAAACCUUAAAGCAUUAACCAUUACAAUGACUCUUGUUACCAACAGGUACAACAAUCCUAGCUGCCAUCAAGAACACGGUUGAUCCAAGCACCAAUGUCGUAUACAAGGAGAAUCCCAACGCAGAGUUCGUCAAGUCCAACAACUUCUCCUACGCCAUUGUGGUAGUAGGGGAACAUCCGUAUGCAGAAACAGAUGGUGAUAGCAUGAAUUUGACAAUUGCAGACCCUGGUCCAACCACGAUCAGAAAUGUGUGUGGAGCUAUGAAAUGCGUUGUUAUCAUAAUAUCCGGUCGCCCCGUUGUAAUCGAACCUUAUCUUGCCUCCAUAGAUGCUCUUGUCGCCGCUUGGUUACCUGGUACCGAGGGACAAGGUGUUGCAGACGUUGUAUUUGGUGAUUAUGGUUUUACAGGCAAGCUUCCUCGUACAUGGUUCAAAACGGUCGAUCAACUGCCGAUGAACGUCGGGGAUCCGCAUUAUGAUCCUCUCUAUCCAUUUGGGUUUGGCAUUACUACUGAACCAACUACAAGGCAAAGCGAUGACAAUCCAUUCUUAAGUAUUUCAUCUUAUUUCAAUUAAUUUUCAUUUGUUAUACAACUAGCUUUGAAUUUCAGUAAUUCUUUAUAUAUGUUUAUAUGUAUAUAGUAAGAUAUUUUAUAGGAAAAAAAUUGGAAAGUCUCAAUACUAUUAGUAAAGUCAGAUUUUCAACAUUUGAUAUGUAUUAUUAAUUAAAAAAUAUUUUCCUUCCAUUUAUUCUUUAGUAUGAUUAAAAAAAUUUUAUAAGUACAAAAAUAUCUUAAAAAAAGGAAAAUUAAUUCCUUAUAUUAAAUUCGCAUUAAAUUGAGUUCAUGUCCUUAAAAAAAAUCAAUUAAGUUGUUCCGUUAACAGUUUUUGUCUUUAACCAUAUUAACCAUUAAAAUCAAUUGACGGACUAAUCAAAUAGUGACACAUGGUAGUUUAUAGUUUAAUCUUAUAGUUUCUCAUUAAAAAAAUAUAAAAAAAAUCAUUAAAAUGAUUAAAAAUCAUAAAAAUAUUAAAAUUUAUAUAAUAUUAUAAAAAUUAUAAAAACUUAUCAAUAUUAUAAAAGUUAUAACAAAUUAUAAUUUUUUAUAAAAUUAAUAAAACAUAUUUAAAAUAGUUAAAAUUUUAUAGUAAACUAUAAAAAAUCUUAAAUAAUUACAAAUAAUAGAAAAAAAAAGCCAUUUAAAAUUCCUAAAAUCAUAACGAACACAUGAGAUUUGACCAAUCGCUAGAUAAUGAGAAUAGUCAUUAAAUCGAUAGUCUUUUUCAUAUUAAUAAAAUAUUUUAAUCUUUUACAAAUAAAUCGAUAAUUGUGGAACCCCUCCUUUUUAUUAAUAAUAUAUAUUUUUAAAAAUUUAUCUCUAAAUUUUUAGGUAUAGUAGUUUGUAUACUGAAAAAUUGAAAAUUGUUAGCUAAGUAUUGUAUGAUAUAGAAAGUGUUUUCGGUAUAAUUAGAUCCUACCAAACCAAAAUUUCGUUACUUAAUAAUUGUAAGCAUUAGCAUAUAUCAGUAUGAAAUAUUUUAAUCAAAGUUUUCAAAACUAAACUAAUGACCAAAUUGGUUAGGUCCCUAGUUCACUGAUUUGAUCAGUUUGAUUAGUCCAUCCAAUUCAAUUAAAAAAUUUAUUAAUUUUUUUAAAAAAAUAAAAAUAUUAAAAAAAUCCUAUUCAACAGGUCCGUAUCAAUUUCUGAGUCAAUCAGUCAAAUAGCUUUUUCCAAAUUAAUACCAUUACCAAUUCUUGAUCCAACUGGUCAAAUCGAUUAAUCCGGUCCUAUUCAAAUAACAUUGAUUUUAACAGCUAUUUCUUUUAUCCAAUUAUUGGUCUAAUGUCAGGUGUUUAUUUUGAUUUUAGGGGUUUAAUUUCCAAAAUGAGGAUCUAAUAAAUAUUUUUUUAUGAUUUUUAUAUAUUUUUAAUAUCUUAUAAUUUUAUUCAAAAAAUAUAUUUUUAUUUAUAAUUUAUUAGAACUUAUUAUGAUUUUUUAUAAGUUUUACAAUUAAUGAUAAUUUUUAUAAUUUGUAUGAUAAUUUAUUAUAACUUUUUUGAAUUUUUAUAAGCUUUUAUAAUAUUUAUAAGUUUUGAUGAAUUCUUUAUAAGUUUUAAAUAUUUUAAAUAUGUUUUAAUUUUAUUAUUGUUAUAAUUAUUUUUAUAAUUUAUUAGAAUUUUAUAAUGUUUAUAAGUUUUAUGAAUUUUUUUAUAAUUUUUAUAAGUUUAUAUAAAUUUUUAAUAUUUUAUGUAUUUUAUAAUUUUUUAUGAAAAAUAUAAGAUUAAACCAAAAGAUGCCUCGCAUCACCGUUUAAUUGGUCUCUUAAUUGAUUUAAACGAUCAAUGUGAUCAAAGACGAAUAUUGUUAGCAAAGGAACUUAAGUGAUUUUUUUAUUAACAACAAAGGCUCAAUUGAGUACAAAUUUAAUUUAAGCUCAAUUAAAUUCUUUUUUCUUUUUUUUUUUGUUAUGGACCUUUUUAUACAUGUGAGCUAUUAAAAAAAAAAGACUAAUUAGUAAUUGAGUGUAAUGGUAAGGUACAUUGUACUCCCAAUGAAAGGAUCGAGGUUCAAACUUUGAAAAUGAUAUUAUUGAGAGGGGCAACCACGAACCUCGACCAUGAACUGUAAAACGAACGUAAAUAUAAAUAUACACGUUAAAUUUACAUCAUUCUUAUUUUGUCUUUGUCUCUCCUUUCACUUUUCCAGUAUCCUCUUAUCAAUUCUUUUUAAUUUUUAAUUUUUUCUAACCUAAAUUCAAUCAACAUUUGCGUAUUAUUUGGUAUCCCAAUUGCAAAUUUCUAACAAAUAUUUUUUAAAAACCAAAAACGUUGCAAAUGGAUAAGAAAAAUUGUAAAUCCAUUCUAUAUAUUAAAAUUAAAAAUGAAACUUUGGUUGGAUUGAUGUUACCAAUAAUUGGAUUCCAACUUAAUUACUAGAUUACUAAAAGGUUUUGAGAGGGUGGUAGGGAGGACUUUAGAGUUAAAGAGAAAAAGGAAAAAGAAAAGAGGGCUCAUUUCAUCUUCAUACAAGUCGGCCAUAAAGCACAGUGUUGGUCGUCCUUAGAAUGAGUUUACAUGUAACGUAUUUCAAAAGGAAUACAUUUUAAGAAAUUCCAUUGGAUAUUUUCAUUACACCAACUUUUGUCACUAUUGGAAUCUCAAGAAGGUAAAAUUUUAUAAUUUAUAUUGGAUUUUUGUUGGGAUUCUCAGCUUGGAUUUUUCUCUGUUCUUCUUUUUUUUAAUAAAUAAGGGUCAUUGUCGAGUUAUUCUUUUUUUAAUUUUCUAUUUAGAAGAAAAUGAAUUUCUUUUAAACAUCAAAAUUAAAUUCAAUAUUUUUAAGUUACGAAUAACACAUGAUUAAAUGAUAUCAUUUUUGUUAACAAGCAUCGUAAAGGUAUUAAUAUCUUCCUCACACGUAGCUGAACUCUUGAUCCCAAAUUUCCUUUUUGUGGACCAAAAAGUUAUCUUUUUAAUCAAUUUUAAUUAGAAUAUUUUAAAAUUUUAUUAGAAAGAUAUGUUUUUAGGUGAACAAUCACACCUAGCAAAAGAAACUCUAAUUUUUUUUUAUUUGACAUCCACUAAAUUAAAUGACCAAAUAUAGAAUUAAAUCAUAGACUGAUAUUGGUUUAUGAUCUGAUUUAGAAAUCUGUUAUGUAAUGCUAAUGCAAAAAAAUCGUAACUAAUUUAGUGAUAAACAAAUUAAUUGAAGUUCGUAAAAAAAAAGGUAAGAAAAUAAAUGAUUGCUUAUCUACCACAUCAUCUCUUUAAAUGGAGAAUCCGUGUUAUUCGCUUGUUCUUUUACACGAUUUAAAGCAACUACGAAACUCAGGAUGUAAGACAUAUAUAAAUAAAAAUUCUUGUUUUGUUUUCCAAACUACCCUGCUUUCUUUUUCAACAUUAUAAUCCUUCUCUCUUUUCCAAACCACCAUUUUCUGUAUCUUCGUUUGUAGGCACUACCACACCAUUAUUGUAUUUCUGGGAUUUUCCUGUAUGUUCCAGUUCUACCUUUCUUUUUCUUUUCUUGCAUAAUGUAUGUAUGAAGCUGAUAAGUGCAAUAUCCAUGGUGACAUGCAAAACAAGCUUAGGAUGUUUUUUUGAUUGGUGAAUUUUGGUUUUAAAUUUUAGGGUGUUUUAGAAGUCUGAGUCUUUGUGGUGCAUGUUUGGAGUCCUUUCUUUCUAUUUGAUCUUUUGAUAAAGUAGUUAUGGAGUAUGAUAUGGAUAUUUGGAUACUUUUCUUCAAUCUUUUCUUUGUUUCUCCUUUUCAAUAAUCUUAGGUUUACUUUAUAAUUUAUUUUAGAAUGUGUCAUAUGAAUAACAUAGAUUGUCAUAAUAUAGAUUUUACCCUGAAACUGGGAUUGUUAAUUUUCUUGUUUCAAUUUUGAAGGAAAAUCAUUGAAAGAGUAGAAUGGAAACACCAAGAAUUGUUGGCAUCCUUUUGAUGGGAAUCCUGGUUUGGUGCUGCAUGGCAACUUCAGCAAAUGCAGAUACAAAAAUGAUCUAUAAAGAUUCAAACCAGCCGUAUAAUGUUAGAAUCAAAGACUUGAUCGGAAGGAUGACAUUAGAGGAAAAAAUUGGACAAAUGAUCCAGAUUGAGCGCAACGUUAGUUCACCUGAGGUCAUGAGAAAGUAUUUCAUCGGUAAGCCUAUCAUCUAUUUACUUUCAUAAUGUAAUGAUAUUGCCCAUGGACACCUCUAGACUCAAAGGGCGAAUGAAUUUGCAUUUGGCAGGUAGUUUGUUGAGUGGAGGAGGGAGUGAGCCAACUCCACAAGCUUCACCGAAGGAUUGGAUCGACAUGGUCAAUGAAUUUCAAAAGGGCUCAUUAUCAUCCAGAUUAGGAAUUCCAAUGAUUUAUGGGAUUGAUGCUGUUCAUGGCCAUAACAAUGUCUACAAGGCAACCAUUUUUCCUCACAACAUCGGUCUCGGUGCUACCAGGCAAGUUUGAAUACUUUCGCUAGCCAUCACCUUAUCAGAAAUCGGAGGAAGUUCUCAUUAAUUUUGAACCAGGGAUCCUGAACUAGUUAAUAGGAUUGGAGUUGUAACAGCUCUUGAAGUCAGAGCCACAGGCAUUCACUAUGUUUUUGCACCUUGUAUUGCGGUAAACAUUCCCGAACCACGUUAAAUAUUAUCUCUUGUUUAUGAUUGGAACUUUUUAAGUGAAUUGCAUUAUAUAUGGAGCAGGUAUGUAGAGAUCCGAGAUGGGGUCGAUGUUAUGAAAGUUACAGUGAAGAUCCCAAGAUUGUUCAAGACAUGACUCAGAUUAUUCCAGGAUUACAAGGACAAAUCCCUUCUAGUUAUCCCAAGGGUGUUCCAUUUGUGGGUGGAAUGUAAGCAAGUUAUUAUAAACAAGAACAACACAUAAUUGAGGCAUGUUUAAGUAAUAUGAAAAGGUAAAUUCAUCCGUGCUUUGGUAUCCAGGGAAAGUGUUGCAGCUUGUGCCAAGCACUAUAUAGGUGAUGGUGGAACAACCAAAGGUAUCAAUGAAAACAACACAGUGAUUGACAAUAAAGGUUUGCUUAGCAUUCAUAUGCCAGGCUACGUCAGUUCAAUUAGAAAAGGUGUUGCAACAGUCAUGAUCUCCUAUUCGAGCUUGAAUGGAGUUAAGAUGCAUGCUAAUUAUGAGAUGGUCACCAACUUCCUUAAAAAAAACCUUCGUUUCAAGGUACCAAACCCUCUAAUUUUACAACAAUAAAAAGAAAUCUUCUUAUGCAUGUAUGUUGGGACAUUGUUUCAGGGCUUUGUCAUCUCAGAUUGGGAGGGUAUUGAUAGAAUCACUUCUCCACCCCAUGCUAACUAUACAUAUUCUAUUGAAGCUUCAGUAAACGCUGGCCUUGACAUGGUUAGUUUGUUAAGCAGUUUCAUCCUUUUUUUUUCCCCUUUAAAUGCUAAUGGUCAUUGUUUUUUAAUCCUUCAGAUUAUGCUUCCAUACAACUACACAGAAUUUAUUGAUGGACUAACCUACCUGGUGAAGAAUAAUUUUGUUCCCAUGAGCCGCAUUGAUGAUGCAGUGAAGAGAAUUUUGCUAGUUAAGUUCACGAUGGGUCUGUUUGAGAACCCACUAGCAGAUGAAAAGUUCGUUGAGCAACUUGGAUGUGAGGUUAGCCAACUAGCUUGGUUGCUUUCGAUUACCAAGAUGAUUAUAGUUUCCUGAUUUUGCCUUACCAAUUCAACAGGCACACAGAGAAUUGGCUAGGGAAGCAGUGAGAAAAUCACUUGUGUUGCUAAAGAAUGGAAAAUCUGCAGAUGCUCCAUUACUUCCCUUGCCUAAGAAGGCAUCAAAUAUACUAGUGGCUGGUAGCCAUGCUGAUAAUCUGGGUUACCAAUGUGGUGGAUGGACAAUUAAGUGGAUGGGAUUUAGUGGAAACAACCUCACAACCGGUAAUAAAAUACUUUCAUAUUUAUCCACUUGUUUCAAUUUGCUGAAGAAUCCUUAAGAAUCUAUGCAACUGACCUUUCCAUAAACAGGUACUACAAUCCUCACAGCCAUCAAAAACACAGUUGAACCGACUACUAAAGUUGUAUACAAUGAAAACCCUGAUGCUGAGUUUGUCAAAUCCGGUGGUUUCUCAUAUGCAAUUGUUGUAGUAGGGGAGCAUCCAUAUGCAGAGACAAAAGGAGACAACUUAAACUUGACAAUUCCUGAACCAGGGCCAAGCACAAUCACAAAUGUAUGUGGAACUGUGAAAUGCGUUGUGGUUGUAGUUUCCGGUCGUCCUGUUGUGAUCCAACCUUAUGUUGCCUCCAUUGAAGCUCUUGUCGCUGCGUGGCUGCCAGGAAGCGAGGGUCAAGGAGUUGCUGAUGUGUUGUUUGGUGAUUUUGGCUUUACCGGCAAGCUUUCAUUCACCUGGUUCAAGACUGUUGAUCAGUUGCCAAUGCAUGUUGGAGAUCCACAUUAUGAUCCCCUCUUCCCAUUAGGAUUUGGCCUCACCACUCAACCAGCCAAAGCACAGUAGCCAAUCUUUUCUAUAAGUUACAUCUACUUUCAAGUAGUUUGAAGCCAUUUACAAACUACAUUUAUAUUUUUUUCUAUCCUAGUUUUGAAUUUUUUUUAUCUUAUUUCUAUAUUAUAUGUAAUUAUUUAUCUUUAUCUUUAACUUUAUAAGUAGAGGUUUUUGUUAAUAAAUCAAGUGGAGAGAUUUCUUAAGCCUCCCAUUACUUCAAUACAAGAGUCCAACUAUAGCAUCUACUAUUAGUAAAACUGAAUAUUGAAAAAUAAAUCUCAUCAACUUUUCUUCUAAAGCUGCUUCAAAUGAUCACCUUCACAUCAACAAUUUCCAUCUAUUCUCAUCUAUUCUAACACGAACUAUCCAUUCUUAUCAUAUUCUUCCAAUUCUAAAGUUCCACAAAUAUUAUACUGUAACUUCUAGCUGUCAUCUUUGUGAUACCCAAUUGUUGCCCGGGGCCCAAAAUCAUUUGCACAGCCCAAUAAACCAAAUACAUGCGGCCCAAAAUAGCCCAAUUUCAUUAAUUCAAGCCCAAAUCUAGCCUAACCCAAUUAACCUAAUCCUAAGAUGAUCCUAAGAACCCUAAUUUACCCUGCGCCGUACAUGCUCUCCACGUCGCAGUAACUUCCAGCGCCGCGCACGCCCCACGUCGUGGUAGUCCCGCACUUCGCGUGCUCUCCGCUCACACACGCACGCACCUGCAAAUCACGAACAACAUCAGUUUGUAUAUACACACGAAAUUUGUAAAAAAGGGUUCGGCUAUAAAAAGGCCAAUCAUUCUUUGUAACGGGGUUAGCAAAUUUUGUACUGGAAAAAAACUGAAAAAGAAAAUACAAGAAAAAAAAGAAGCAAGGAUUUUGAAGGUGACAGAUUUUAUUUGUCUUUUCCUCUGUUCAUUUUACUGUUUUUACUUUAUUUUGUUUUUCUUUUGUUAUCCUAAAACAAAAAUAAAUAAAGAGAAGAGGGAAAGGAGGACUUACCGUCGUCGGGCGCCCUCGUUCGUCGUUAUCUGGUCGGAGUUGGGAGAACGGCAGAGAAAGGAAGGCUGAGGCACAAACACUUGAAAUGGCAGAGGAGUGGUGUUUUAGGGUUCCAAGUUUGGGCUUAUAUAUGUCGUUAAACGACGCCGUUUGGCGCCUGUUUCAGUGGCCCCAAAACGGCGCCGUAUUGCCUAUGCCCGUGUGCGAUCCGACCCGGGGAGGAUCCGCGCAUUUUUCUCAAAUGGAUAAUUUUCGCAAUUGGUCCCUUUUUUUUUUACAGUGCUUUAAAAUUGUUUUUUAUUUCUUUUAAAUUAAGCAAAAUAUUUUAUUACUGUUUCAAUUUGGUUCGUGUUGCUGCGCAGCGUUUUGGAAGAUGGGAUUAAUUUCGCUUUUGAUCCUCCUCAUGUUGCGUGAAUUUUAAUUUAGUCCUUUUUAGUGUUUUAUAUCUUUAAAUUCAGCCUUUCAAUUUUGUUUAUUUUACAGUUUGAUCCCUAAUUGGUAGCUUUAGGUUUACUUUAGUUUUUU